rnacentral:rRNA from 1 species
GUCGGANCUGCCCGGUGAAGAGUUUUUAACGGCCGCGGUACUCUGACCGUGCAAAGGUAGCAUAAUCAUUUGCCUUAUAAUUGAAGGCUGGUAUGAAUGGUUUGACAAGAAUAUAGCUGUCUCUUUAUUGAUUUGAUAGAAUUUUAUUUCUGGGUGAAAAAGCCUAGAUUUAAUUAAAAGACAAGAAGACCCUAUCGAGCUUUAAAGAAUUGAGUGGAUAUAAUUAAAAUAAUGCCGAUAUAAAAUUGUAGAAGGCAAAGCUGCUUAAUAUUUUGGUUGGGGCGACUGAGGAACAUGUAAAGCUUCCUUUAUAUUAUUUCUAAACUUUCGAGUGUUGAUCCAAUUAUAUUGAUUAAGGGAAUUAGUUACCGUAGGGAUAACAGCAUUAUCCUUCUUGAGAGCCCAUAUCGAAAGAAGGGUUUGUGACCUCGAUGUUGGACCAGAAUGUCCUAAAGAUGCAGAAGUCUUUGAGGGUUGGUCUGUUCGACCAUUAAAAUUCUA